GACGUAGGGUGCGAGCGUUGUCCGGAUUUAUUGGGCGUAAAGAGCUCGUAGGCGGCUUGUUGCGUCGACUGUGAAAGCCCGGGGCUUAACCCCGGGUCUGCAGUCGAUACGGGCAGGCUAGAGUGUGGUAGGGGAGAUCGGAAUUCCUGGUGUAGCGGUGAAAUGCGCAGAUAUCAGGAGGAACACCGGUGGCGAAGGCGGAUCUCUGGGCCAUUACUGACGCUGAGGAGCGAAAGCGUGGGGAGCGAACAGG
rnacentral:rRNA from 1 species